UACGUAGGUCCCGAGCGUUGUCCGGAUUUAUUGGGCGUAAAGCGAGCGCAGGUGGUUUAUUAAGUCUGGUGUAAAAGGCAGUGGCUCAACCAUUGUAUGCAUUGGAAACUGGUAGACUUGGGUGCAGGAGAGGAGAGUGGAAUUCCAUGUGUAGCGGUGAAAUGCGUAGAUAUAUGGAGGAACCCCGGUGGCGAAAGCGGCUCUCUGGCCUGUAACUGACACUGAGGCUCGAAAGCGUGGGGAGCAAACAGG
rnacentral:rRNA from 1 species